AGAAAUAUGUCUGAUAAAAGAGUUACUUUGAUAGAGUAAACUAUAGAGGUUCAAAUCCUCUUAUUUCUA
rnacentral:tRNA from 1 species